CAGUCGCCACGGUAAUACGAGGGGGGCAAGCGUUGUUCGGAAUUAUUGGGCGUAAAGGGUGCGUAGGCGGCUUGACAAGUCUUGUGUGAAAUCUAUGGGCUCAACCCAUAGUCUGCACGGGAAACUGUCGGGCUUGAGAAUGGGAGAGGUGAGUGGAAUUUCCGGUGUAGCGGUGAAAUGCGUAGAUAUCGGAAGGAACACCUGUGGCGAAAGCGGCUCACUGGACCAUUUCUGACGCUGAUGCACGAAAGCUAGGGGAGCAAACAGGAUUAGAUACCCGAGUAGUCCCUGUCUCUUAUAU
rnacentral:rRNA from 1 species